rnacentral:rRNA from 1 species
GUGUACCUACGGGAGGCAGCAGUGGGGAAUAUUGCACAAUGGGGGAAACCCUGAUGCAGCGACGCCGCGUGAGUGAAGAAGUAUCUCGGUACGUAAAGCUCUAUCAGCAGGGAAGAAAAAAAGUCUUUGGCUUUGGACGGUACCUGACUAAGAAGCCCCGGCUAACUACGUGCCAGCAGCCGCGGUAAUACGUAGGGGGCAAGCGUUAUCCGGAUUUACUGGGUGUAAAGGGAGCGUAGACGGGAGAUCAAGUCAGCGGUAAAAUGUCGGGGCUCAACCCCGGCCGGCCGUUGAAACUGGUUUUC